UACGUAGGGUCCAAGCGUUAAUCGGAAUUACUGGGCGUAAAGCGUGCGCAGGCGGUUGUGCAAGACCGAUGUGAAAUCCCCGAGCUUAACUUGGGAAUUGCAUUGGUGACUGCACGGCUAGAGUGUGUCAGAGGGGGGUAGGAAUUCCACGUGUAGCAGUAAAAUAGCGUAGAGAUGUGGAGGAACACCGAUGGCGAAGGCAAUCCCCUCGGGCGUGUACUGACGCUCAUGCACGAAAGACGUGGGGAGGCAAACAGGAUUAGAUA
rnacentral:rRNA from 1 species